AAUGCUGGGGAGCCUGGCGACCUCGAGCGCCAGGGGGGAAGAGCGAGAGCAGGCGUGACACAUUUAUUAUGUUCAAUAUAGGAGGACAAGAAGCAGCUCUUUCAGUAGUUUAGUUGGAAUAGGGUCCAGUAGGCAGCUGGAAGGUUUAGAGGCCAUGACUAUUUUUACAAAGUGCGCAGUUGGGUGCCAGACUGAUCCCCUUGUCAUGAACGGAUGCCGGAACCUACCAGAAGUAGCAAAGGUUUUACGUACUAGCCAAGCUGCUGGGAGAGCGCAAUGGUUCUCUUUUGAUAAGAUCUCACAAGUAACCUCCUCCGUUGUUGCCAGAGUCUCCCUCGACUCCUGUGAAAAGGACACGCCAUCAUGAGGCGUCUGAUAGUGACUCGAGUUACUUCUCUUUUGACACAUACGGCUUAAUCAACAACGACAGGUGAAGAAGCCGGAUGUGGAGGUCCUGGGCUGGCGUGGUUACACGUGGUCUGCAGUUGUGAGACCGGUUGGGCGUCAGUGGAGGCUGUUGAGGGGAGAACAGCUCAUAAUAAAGAUUCAUCUAUGGAGCCAGCACUUGGAGACUUACAAGAUGGAAAGGACUGUAGAUGCUUUUUCCAAGACUCCUUCCUCUGUUGUUUGAUGGGGAGACCAUUGGAAACAUGUAUGGCGCCAGCACGUGCAGACUUGCAAGAUAAUGUGAUGAAGUCCAGACUGACACACGGGCUUGAUGGUGAUGUCUCUGAAUGGAGAGAGACCUGGCACUCAGCAUUCAAAUUUAAGUAGACAACUUUUACUUGUAUUGUGUUUUUUAUUAUUGAAUUGAAUGAUAUCAGUCAAUAUGGGGUGGGAAAAUCCCUGUGUAUUCUGCACCAGCAUCAGGGAACUCCUGUUGUAUAAGGGACACCACACAGGAAGGUAUGACCACUCUGUUCGCCAAGGCCCUUUACCACCAGGCAAAAUGUUGAUAGGCACAGUAUCUGUAUCAGCUGGGAAUGACUACGGAAGGUGAAAGGUGCACAUUGUUUCUAUAGUAUUAUGUAAAGGGUUGUUUAUUCUAUAUGGACCUGUUUCUACAUUUGAAAGGUAUCAAAACACUUUGUUUAGAAUAUCUACAUAAAUUCAGCAAUUGCAUUCUCCUCAUAUUACUCUGCAGGUUACAGACCUAUUCAAAGCUUCCUCCGACAUCUGCCUAUAAAUAUUGAACUCAACCUGCAGGAUGUUUGUUUGUUGUGAUUGAGAGGGGGGAAACAGCUGCGCGCAAG
rnacentral:lncRNA from 1 species